UACAGAGGUGGCAAGCGUUGUUCGGAAUUACUGGGCGUAAAGGGCGCGUAGGCGGCUUGGUCAGUCCCGUGUGAAAUCCCUCGGCUCAACUGAGGAACUGCACGGGAAACUGCCUGGCUUGAGUUCGGGAGAGGGAAGCGGAAUUCCGGGUGGUAGCGGUGAAAUGCGUAGAUAUCCGGAGGAACACCGGUGGCGAAGGCGGCUUCCUGGACCGACACUGACGCUGAGGCGCGAAAGCUAGGGGAGCAAACGGG
rnacentral:rRNA from 1 species